GAUGAACGCUGGCGGCGCACAUAAGACAUGCAAGUCGAACGAACUUAAUCGAAAGUUUACUUUUGAAGCGGUUAGUGGCGGACUGGUGAGUAACACGUAAGCAACCUGCCUAUCAGAGGGGAAUAACAGUGAGAAAUCAUUGCUAAUGCCGCAUAUGCUCACAGUAUCGCAUGAUACAGUGAGGAAAGGAGCAAUCCACUGAUAGAUGGGCUUGCGUCUGAUUAGAUAGUUGGUGGGGUAACGGCCUACCAAGUCGACGAUCAGUAGCCGGACUGAGAGGUUGAACGGCCACAUUGGGACUGAGAUACGGCCCAGACUCCUACGGGAGGCAGCAGUCGGGAAUAUUGCGCAAUGGAGGAAACUCUGACGCAGUGACGCCGCGUGCAGGAAGAAGGUUUUCGGAUUGUAAACUGCUUUAGUCAAGGAAGAUACAAGACAGUACUUGAAGAAUAAGCACCGGCUAACUAUGUGCCAGCCGCCGCAGUAACAC
rnacentral:rRNA from 1 species